UCGGAGCCGGUGUAGUACGGUUCAAUCUUAGUCCUGUAUUGACAUUGUGUCUAUUUGAUGGUUCGUCGGAGGGCAUAUUGGGAUUUCUUAUAAGCGUCCUGUUGUAUAGCACACUGUAUUACUUAUACAACUAAUAUAAGGACAGGACAUGAGACGGGAGUGGAAAUUAACGUGGGAAUUGUUUAAUGCGUUUCACAGGAAGAACAUUCCAAGCAUUUCAAUGUAGGUAAGCAAGGGGGGGGGGGGUUACAGGUGCCCUAAAGGGACAAAACUAGAAUAUCAAUACACAACAUAUUCCUCCCCCUCUACCUCUGGUGACUCAUUAGGAAAAAGUAAAUAUUAACUGUUUUGCCUAUUGUCUUAUUUUUAAUAUAAGUUAUCUUAAUGUAAACAAAUGAACUUUUCAGAAUAACCUUUUCUAAAUUAGGAAUAGAGGGUAGACUGCCUCAGUCCCCAGACUUAACCCUGGGGUGUAUUCUUCCCUGAUGUUGGAGGUUAGUCUGAACUAAAUAGUCAACCUGUCAGAGGAUAUUCCUUCUCUUGCAGGGUAAUGACGAUGUACAGUUGAGUCUACAGUCACAUUAUCUCUGAGUCUGAGUGGUGAUGGUGUAUUCCCAGACUGGGGUGCAACAGUACCCUGAGUAGGCACUCUGGCUGGUUCAGGUGAGUCUGGAGCACUUUCCACAUUUGUAGGUUGCUGCAGUGGAUGUUCAGGAAUAGCUCGUAGUCAUGGUAGGCCUCCAGUAGCUGAUCUUGGUUUGUCACUUGACAGGAGUCAUCUCUUGAGGUUGGUUCCUGGCAACAAUUGAUCCACUUGUAUCCUCCAGAUGAUGUUUUCCGGUGUGUGAACUGUGUAGGACACAGGUCCUGUUUGUGCAACCACUGUGGCUGGUAUUUGGACCUUUGCAGUAGUUCCAAGCAAGAACUCUCUCUCUCCAGCUAUGAAGUUGCACGCAGGACUACCUCAUUAACAGGUCAUGAGACAGACUCAGACACCUGAACGGGCCCUCAUCCCCAUCAUUUGUAGGAAAAAAUAUGUAGAUUUCGCAGAAGGAGAUCGGGGUGGCAUGUGAUGUAGUGUUUUUUUGCAAACAGCAAUGGUGUAAUGCCCCUUUUUGUCUCAAACCUGGGUCUCCCUGCCCGUAGGCAAACAAAUAUAUUUUAGUGAAUUCAGGCGGUCGCCCCAAACAGGUUUUGGACCUGGGUCCAUCAACUGUCAAGCCAACACCUUAAGUGCUACGCCAAGAUGUCCAAACCUCUCGAUGUUGUCGCUCGGUGUUGGAUUAAAGUUGCUACAGAACAUGAGUCAGCUGAGACCUCCUUCCUUGGGGAGAGCAUGCCCCCACACUUCUUUAUAGCAAGUCUCUCACGUGUACACAACCAAUUUCUUACUGGUAGAUUUUGUACAUGAUCUGUCAAUCCUGAGAGCGACGCUCUCUCUCCUCCCCUUCUCCCCAUCUCUCUUUUGCAUGUGCUGGUGCGAAGUUUUCCCUAGAUCCAGAUCUAGGAUCAGCUUCCCCUCCCCAAACCUAACAAGGACCAUUCGCGGGGGAAUUCAAACCUGAUCCAAAGCCAGGGUCUAUUUGGGGAACUUGUCCCCUCCCCCACAACACGACACGUGGAUGCGUCUUCCUCAGUUCACCAUGCACAUAAAGAAAACAGCAGUGUAUUUCAGCUGACUGGCAGAGACAGUGCGGUGCCAGAAGGGAAGGUUUGAUUGGGAGAGACAGUUGUUGCUGUCAUAGGCAAGCCUGGGAAAGAACUGAGAAAACGUACUAAGGAGUCAAGAUAGACACCAGAAAGAGGCCCAAGAAGACUUGGACGCAGGAACAGAGGACAGCGAGGGAUGUUCAGAACUCACUCAGUCCGGUUUGGAGAAUGACUUCUCAACCCAAGACUGAGAGCAGCUGUGAGAAAGCAUCAGUUUGGAAGCAUUUGGGAAAAUGUAAAGUGCUAAAGAAGGUUCCCGGCAAAGAGGAUUGCCUGUUAUGGGUCAGAGCCAGCUCUCACAAACAGAACAUGGAAAGACUUGAAAACCUGGUGCACAACAAAAUGCAAACAGAAAAGGCUCUCCGCAGCCGGUAAAAGGCUAGCAUGCCACGAAGAUGAAGUUCACACAGGUGAAUGGGAGAGUUGUAAAAGACAAAAAGCUUUUUAGACAUGGCUCCAAAAUGCAGGUGCUAGUUGAGCUCGUGAGCUAGUUCUGCUCUAUUUUUUUCAUUUUGUGGUGAAAAACUUAGUGUGUCGAGCAUAAUACCCUGUUACCAAUAGAUAAAAAGGCGAGACAUUUUUUAGCAAUUUCAUUUUUUGUCUGAAACGUCCAAUUCAAAAGCUUCCAUUCCCCUUGUCACAAGGAAUUUAUGCAUGAUUUAAUAUGAAACCCUGCCUCCCGAGUGGCGCAGUGGUCUUAGGCACUGCAUCGCAGUUGCUAGCUGUGCCGCUAUAGAUCCUGGUUCGAGUCCAGGCUCUGUCGCAGCCGGCUGCGACCCGGAGACCCAUGGGUUGGCGCACAAUUGUCCCAGCUUCGUCCUGGUUAGGUUUGUAUGGCAGGGAUGUCCUUGUCCCAUUGCGCUCUAGCAACUCCUGUGGCGGGCCGGGCGCAUGCAUGCUGACACGGUCGCAAGGUGUACGGUGUUUCCUCCGACACAUUGGUGUGGCUUCCAGGUUAAGCGGGCAUUGUGUCAGGAAGCAGUGCAGCUUGGCAGGGUUGUGUUUCGGAGGACGCAUGGCUCUCUACCUUCGCCUCUCCUGAGUCCAUAGGGAGUUGCAGCAAUGAGACAAGACUAACUACCAAUUGGAUACCACGAAAAUUGGGGAGAUUAAGGGGUUAAAAGAAAAAUAUAUAUAAUAAAACCCUGUCAGCCUUUACUUAAUAGGCACGUAUUGUAGUCAUUUUUAAAAUGUAAUCUCUUGAGAUGGGAAACCGUUUUCUAUUUUUGUUUUUAUUCAUUUGAAUAUGGUCUUUAUUUUAUUUAUUUAUUCUGAGAUGGCUCAGAACGCACCCUUGUGGGGCCCCAGUGUUGAGGAUCAGAGGGGAGGAGAUGUUGUUACCUACCCUCACCACCUGGGGGCGGCCCGUCAGGAAGUAAUGCCAGCAAGACAUCCUGGUCCGUGACUGGGCUGGAUUUCUUCCUGUAGUCCGUGAUUGACUGUAGACCCUGCCACAUGCCUCUUGUGUCUGAGCCGUUGAAUUGAGAUUCUACUUUGUCUCUGUACUGACGCUUAGCUUGUUUGAUAGCCUUGCGGAGGGAAUAGCUGCACUGUUUGUAUUCGGUCAUGUUACCAGACACCUUGCCCUGAUUAAAAGCAGUGGUUCGCGCUUUCAGUUUCACGCGAAUGCUGCCAUCAAUCCACGGUUUCUGGUUAGGGAAUGUUUUAAUCGUUGCUAUGGGAACGACAUCUUCAACGCACGUUCUAAUGAACUCGCAAACCGAAUCAGCGUAUUCGUCAAUGUUGUUAUCUGACGCAAUACGAAACAUAUUCCAGUCCACAUGCUGGAAGCAGUCUUGGAGUGUGGAGUCAGCUUGGUCGGACCAGCGUUGGACAGACCUCAGCGUGGGAGCCUCUAGUUUUAGUUUCUGUCUGUAGGCAGGGAUCAGCAAAAUGGAGUCGUGGUCAGCUUUUCCGAAAGGGGGGCGGGGCAGGGCCUUAUAUGCGUCGCGGAAGUUAGAGUAACAAUGAUCCAAGGUUUUUCCACCCCUGGUUGCGCAAUCAAUAUGCUGAUAAAAUUGAGGGAGUCUUGUUUUCAGAUUAGCCUUGUUAAAAUCCCCAGCUACAAUGAAUGCAGCCUCCGGAUAAAUGGUUUCCAGUUUGCAUAGAGUUAAAUAAAGUUUGUUCAGAGCCAUCGAUGUGUCUGCUUGGGGGGGGAUAUAUACGGCUGUGAUUAUAAUCGAAGAGAAUUCUCUUGGUAGAUAAUGCGGUCUACAUUUGAUUGUGAGGAAUUCUAAAUCAGGUGAACAGAAGGAUUUGAGUUCCUGUAUGUUUCUUUCAUCAUACCAUGUCUCGUUAGUCAUAAGGCAUACGCCCCCGCCCCUCUUCUUACCAGAAAGGUGUUUGUUUCUGUCGGCGCGAUGCGUGGAGAAACCAGCUGGCUGCACCGCUUCGGAUAGCGUCUCUCCAGUGAGCCAUGUUUCCGUGAAGCACAGAAUGUUAUAGCAAGUAAAACACUGGUAUAGUAGAUUUGCAGUGGAAGAAGGUGCAAAGUAGUUUGGGCUAAAUUAUAGGUGGGCUAUGUACAGGUGCAGUAAUCUGUGAGCUGCGCAGACAUUUGGUGCUUAAAGCUUGUGAGGGAGAUAUGUGUUUCCAGUUUCAGAGAUUUUUGUAGUUCGUUCCAGUCAUUUGCAGCAGAGAACUGGAGGGAGAGGCGACCAAAGAAAGAAUUGGUUUUGGGGGUGACUAGAGAGAUCAGAGACUCACCAGCGGCAAAGGGACAUCAUUGAUGUAUACAGAGAAGAGUCGUUCCAAGAAUUGAACCCUGUGGCACCCCCAUAGAGACUGCCAGAGGUCCGGACAGCAGACCCUCUGAUUUGACACAUUGAACUCUAUCAGAGAAGUAGUUGGUGAUCCAGGCGAGGCAAUCAUUUGAGAAACCAAGGUUGUCGAGUCUGCCGAUGAGGAUGUGGUGAUUGAAAUGCUUGGCCAGAUCAAUGAAUAUGGCUGCACAGUAAUGUUUCUUAUCAAUGGCUAAUAAGAUCGUUUAGGACCUUGACUACACUCAAUAAGUAGGAGUAACUUAGAAAGCUCUGGACAUUCUUAUUUUUUUAUGACUUGAGGAGCCUGUUCUCUGCUAUACUGGUCUGCAUUUCUGCAAUACUGUCUAUAAUUUCCAUCUCUCCUGUGCAUUUCUUGACUGCCACUUUCAACCUCCAAGUCAUUCAGCCAACUGUCCAGGUCUACUGCCUUAAGAUCACCUUCACUGCAGUUUCUCUUCAUCUCUUGGAUCAGUGCCCUCACCAGCUCGCCCAUCCUCUUGACCUCCCGAGCCACGUCUUCAUCCCUCAGUUUCUCCUUCCUCCUCCCCAUCCACUUUGCAAUCCAUCCUCUACAGCAUCCCUCAUUCUUCUUCUGCCUCUUGGUUGAUGUCCUGACCAUCAUUGUGCGUCUUCAGACCUUCCUCCAGGUUGAGUUCUAUUGAGGUCAGGUUCUCUUUGAUCCUCCUCAGACUCUCCUUGUUGGUGUUGGUCCACUGUGUCUUCUUGUCCAGCUGCUGCCUGCAGGGCCGGACAGUGGGGACCACCUCCAUCUGGCGUGACACCUUCUUCAGGUCACUCACAGAGGCAGAGAGGAGGAUGUUGGGCUUGGCCACAAUAAUCUCAACAGAUAUAGGGUCAAAACACUGAGAUGUGACACACACACAAAUUUAAGAGAUGCCUACCAGUCGAUGGUCCUUCAGUGGUCCUUGUGGUUCCUUUGGAGGCUCUGGACUGUCCUCAGUAGAAGCGUCAUUGCCAUCAUCAAGCUGUGUGUCAAGAGAGCUAGCUGGUCAUAGUCCAUUCUCCACAUUCAGUGAAGGAGUUACACACGCACAUUUUUGAGUAAGUGGGGGGAGGAGACAGACAGGUCAUCAUCCUCGUCCAUUUCCCUCACUUCAAACUUUGUCACUUUUCCAUCCUCAACUUUCAGUGGUGGUGUCCUCUUUUCAUGAUCCUCAUCAUCACACUGUUUAUCAGAGUCAACAUGUCAGAGCCCAUCCUCCUCACAGUGAUGUCACUCAACAAAGACAUGGACGGUAGGGUACAACUCUUUUACCUCAGAUUCAGUCAGUGAAGGAGUAGAUGGAAAAGUCAUCAGAACUGGAGGAUGAGAUCACGUCAUGAUAUUUUCUCUCUAUCAGCCGAUUCACCCUUCCAGACUGAGGAGACAGAGAAAGGCAUGUACUCAUGGCAGCCAUAGAAUACACUGGCAUUGACCCUCAAGGAAAUGUAGAGUAUGUAGGCAAUCCAACAUGGUUGUACAAGUAGUGAGUAAUACAUGGGUAACUGAAAAUGCAAUUAAUGCAACUCCCAUAACAUUAGGGGUGGGGCUAAAGAUCUUCCAUAGAAUAGGAUUCUUUAGCAUCUCGAAUGGAUGAUUGUCAAUUCACCAAGCCAACCAAAAUGGCCAUAUGAAUCAACAGAUUGAUCUAACUGUUGUGUCUAUGGGAACAGCAGAGAUGACCUGGCUGAGAGGCUCUGGAUUGAUGCUCCAUCCAUCCCUAGAUGUCUGGUCCUGCCCACAGCUCACAAUGAUUGGCUAUAAACAGUAAAGAAUGAAUUAAACACUGCUUUUCUCAUUGCAGAAUGUAUAACUAAUGUGCAUGUGUUACUGACGGUUGGCCACAUCACAGAAUCAGGGGUGUUUACCCUCAUUGGAUUCAUCCGUCAACACAUCACUCAAUUUAAAAGGUGAUAAUAUAACAAAAACAGGACAAAACAGACAUGUAUUGUAUAUUUACCACAUAAGGGCUGCGUGUUAAAGCUCUUUUGAUUCUCUCAUUAUUACGAUCCAUUGCUUUCUGGGGGAAACAUUUCCAUCAAUAUUGUAUGUAUAUAUAAUAUAUAUGUGUGAGUGUGUAUAUACACAGGUUUGGAUAACAUUAACUUAAGAGACCACUGCAAAAUGAUCCGUUUCUCUGGGUUUACUAUUUAUAGGUAUGUGUUUGGGUAAAAUGAACAUUUUUGUUUUAUUCUAAACUACUGACAUUUCUCCCAAAUUAAAUUAUUGUCAUUUAGAGCAUUUAUUUGCAGAAAAUUACAACUGAUCAAAAUAACAAAAACAGAUGCGGUGUUGUCAGACCUCUAAUAAUACUAAUAUUUUAACUUAGGAAGAGUUCUGAAAUCAUUAUUUGGUGGAAUAACCCUGAUUUUCAAUCACAGCUUUCAUGCGUCUUGGCCACCAGUCUUUUUCGUUGGUGUUGGGUGACUUUAUGCCAUCCUGGCUCAAAAAUUCAAGCAGCUUGGCUUUGUUUGAUGGCUUGUGACCAUCCAUCUUCCUCUUGAUCACAUUCCAGAAGUUUAAUGGGGUUCAAGUCUGGAGACUGGGCUGGCCAUGACAAGGUCUUGAUCUGGUGGUCCUCCAUCCACACCUUGAUUGACUUGACUGUGUCACAUGGAACAUUGUCCUACUGGAAAAAACAAUCCUCAGAGUUGGUGAACAUUGUAAGAGCAGAAGGAAGCAAGUUUUCUUCCAGGACAACCUUGUAAGUGGCUUGAUUCAUGCGUCCUUCAUAAAGAUAAAUCUGCCCGAUUCCAUCCUCCACCAAAUUUCACAGCGGGUGCGAGACACUGGCUUGUAGGCCUUUCCAGGUCUCCGUCUAACCAUUAGACGACCAGGUGUUGGGCAAAGCUGAAAAUUGGACUCAUCGGAGAAGAUGACUUUACUCCAGUCCUCUACUAUUGUCUUUUGAAAACCUCAGCCUGGCUUUGCUUCUCAUUGAUGAAGGGCUUUUUUCUAGCUUUGCACAACUUCAGCCCUGCCCCUAGGAGCCUGUUUCAAACCAUCCUCACCGUGCACUUCACCUCAGCUGCAUUUGCCAUCCUUUUUGUAGGUUAACUGCCUUGUUCAGGGGCAGAAUGACAGAUUUUUACCUUGUCAACUCUUGGAUUUGAUCUUGAAACCUUUUGGUUACUAGUCCAACGCUCUAACCACUAGGCUACCUGCCACCCCAAUGAACUGCUGUCUUUGAAAUUUUAAGGAUGGAAGCAUCCUGUAUCCCUCUGCCAGUAAAGACCUUCUUUCCCUCACUCAAAAUGUUCCUUUUGAAGUCUUCUGGCAUGGUUAAUAGUUAUUUUUGGAUUCCAAUUACUUUUGAGGUACUACUAGCACUGAUUUAAACAUCCAGCAGGUCCUAUUGCAAGAGGAUAGUGAUGACCACAGCAGUGGUUUUUAUACUUUUCCUCGUUAAAUAAGAUUUGGUUCAGGUGAUCACCUAAUCAGUACCCCAUUCAGUAGAAUGAGGUGUGCCUGUGUUGGAAAUCAACAGACACUGGAAUGGAAUUUCUGCCAUACAUUUAGAGAUGCUGAUUACAGAAACAUUUGUUAAUUAUUUCCAGAGCUCUGAGUGUAUGUGGUACCAUUUACAUUUAAGUCAUUUAGCAGACGCUCUUAUCCAGAGCGACUUACCCUGUAUACAGGUUGGGAAGGCUGUGCACCAAAGGCCAAUGGUUACCUGCAACAACCUGAGUGAGAAGAAAGAGAUUAUACAGUUGAAAUCAAAUCUGAACACAGUGCAUGUAGGGAAUUAAUGCUUGGUUACGUCAGAAUACGUCACAGCUUUAUGACUGCGCAUAAUACAUCGCAAGAGAAAGGCUUGUUUGGAGCCUAACUAGUGGUAUUGUCUUCUCACUGGUUGUAGCUAGCUGAAUAACGAAAGUGAUGUACAUAUUUCCUACUGACUGAGUAAUGGUUGUAUCGAUGGUUGGUUGGAUGUUUUUUUUACAUAGAUAGGCUAACAGGAUAUCAAUAGAAAGAAACCAUUCCUUGCCCCCCAAAAAAUUAUUUUGCACUUUGAGUAACAAGCACUAAGGGACCACAAUGGAAUUCGUUGAUUUUAUUGCGUUGUCCCUGACACGUUUUAUUUUAUUAAACAGUUUUUUUUUUUUUACUAAACUCAAAUAUAUCUAUCUCACUUUCUAUCUAACUCAAGUGGACUGUUGAGAACUCUGAUCAUCACAUUUCAGGCACAAGCCAGCAGGUGGCAGUGUCUUUAAAUGCAGCACUGCCUUAGUGCACUUCAUGAUCUGCGCAUCAAAUUUGGUUGUGAACGUGAUUAAUAAAAAUGCGGAAAUACAUUACAUUUGCUUUGGUUUAGCAAUCUAUCUACCCUGUCUUAGUUAAAGUGUUGUGCAAUAGUGGAGGACAGGUGUCGUAACUGACAUUUUUGUAUUGUGCUUGAUUAUCCACUGGUAUUAGUUUGACAUAUGUACUGAGCAUCAAAAAUCAGUUUUGAAAGAUGUGGUGGAAGAAUUUGGGGUGAGCUGUUGUAAACUUCUCAAGGGAUAUGUUCUGUGUUGGACUGUGAUGUUAUGUGUUUCAUAGACUACUGGUAUGUCUGCGUCGUAACACAAGGCCAUUGUGUUCCGGAACUAUUGAUUUAUAGAAGAAAUUGUUGUGUGAAUACAAUAUGAUUGUAUUAUCACCUCUCACUAUAUAAGGGACAUGUAACCAUUUCAUCCUUGCUGUGAAAUUAGAGGUGGCUCUCCUCUGCAGCUGCUUGUAUUAAAUAUGUUUAUUACAUUGUUAAAUAUAGGAUUAUCACCACAGCAAGCAAAGUACUUUAAGGUCAGGGCCCUCUGCAAGUCUCACAAAAUCAUUUUAGACCCAAGCCACCCCUUGUACCCGGACUUUGAACUACUCCCCACUGGGCACAGGUAUAGGGC